UGGGAAUAUUGCACAAUGGGCGAAAGCCUGAUGCAGCGACGCCGCGUGAGGGCAUGACGGCCUUCGGGUUGUAAACCUCUUUCAGCAGGGAAGAAGCGAAAGUGACGGUACCUGCAGAAGAAGCGCCGGCUAACUACGUGCCAGCAGCCGCGGUAAUACGUAGGGCGCAAGCGUUGUCCGGAAUUAUUGGGCGUAAAGAGCUCGUAGGCGGUUAGUCGCGUCUGCUGUGAAAACUCGAGGCUCAACCUCGGGCUUGCAGUGGGUACGGGCUGACUAGAGUGCGGUAGGGGUGACUGGAAUUCCUGGUGUAGCGGUGGAAUGCGCAGAUAUCAGGGGGAACACCGAUGGCGAAGGCAGGUCACUGGGCCGCAACUGACGCUGAGGAGCGAAAGCAUGGGGAGCGAACAGGAUUAGAUACCCUGGUAGUCCAUGCCGUAAACGUUGGGCACUAGGUGUGGGGUCCAUUCCACGGACUCCGUGCCGCAGCAAACGCAUUAAGUGCCCCGCCUGGGGAGUACGGCCGCAAGGCUAAAACUU
rnacentral:rRNA from 1 species